GGCUCAGGAUGAACGCUGGCGGCGUGCUUAACACAUGCAAGUCGAACGAUGAUGCCCAGCUUGCUGGGUGGAUUAGUGGCGAACGGGUGAGUAACACGUGAGUAACCUGCCCUUGACUCUGGGAUAAGCCUGGGAAACCGGGUCUAAUACCGGAUACGACCAUCUGGCGCAUGUCAUGGUGGUGGAAAGCUUUAGCGGUUUUGGAUGGACUCGCGGCCUAUCAGCUUGUUGGCGGGGUAACGGCCCACCAAGGCGACGACGGGUAGCCGGCCUGAGAGGGUGACCGGCCACACUGGGACUGAGACACGGCCCAGACUCCUACGGGAGGCAGCAGUGGGGAAUAUUGCACAAUGGGCGAAAGCCUGAUGCAGCGACGCCGCGUGAGGGAUGACGGCCUUCGGGUUGUAAACCUCUUUCAGCAGGGAAGAAGCGCAAGUGACGGUACCUGCAGAAGAAGUGCCGGCUAACUACGUGCCAGCAGCCGCGGUAAUACGUAGGGCACAAGCGUUAUCCGGAAUUAUUGGGCGUAAAGAGCUCGUAGGCGGUUUGUCGCGUCUGCUGUGAAAGCCCGGGGCUCAACCCCGGGUCUGCAGUGGGUACGGGCAGACUGGAGUGCAGUAGGGGAGACUGGAAUUCCUGGUGUAGCGGUGGAAUGCGCAGAUAUCAGGAGGAACACCGAUGGCGAAGGCAGGUCUCUGGGCUGUAACUGACGCUGAGGAGCGAAAGCAUGGGGAGCGAACAGGAUUAGAUACCCUGGUAGUCCAUGCCGUAAACGUUGGGCACUAGGUGUGGGGGACAUU
rnacentral:rRNA from 1 species